rnacentral:rRNA from 1 species
GGGGGGGGGGGGGGGGGGGGGGGGCAGGGGGGGGUCGGGGGGAGGGGGUGCGGCUUGGGGGGGUACUGGAGUGGCGAGCGGGUGAGUAACGCGUGGGUAAUCUGCCCUGCACUCUGGGAUAAGCCUGGGAAACUGGGUCUAAUACUGGAUAUGACCUUUCUCCUUAUGGGGUUGGGUGGAACGUUUUUCGGUGUAGGAUGAGCCCGCGGCCUAUCAGCUUGUUGGUGGGGUGAUGGCCUACCAAGGCGACGACGGGUAGCCGGCCUGAGAGGGUGCGCGGCCACAUUGGGACUGAGAUACGGCCCAGACUCCUACGGGAGGCAGCAGUGGGGAAUAUUGCACAAUGGGCGGAAGCCUGAUGCAGCGACGCCGCGUGAGGGAUGACGGCCUUCGGGUUGUAAACCUCUUUCAGCAGGGACGAAGCGUAAGUGACGGUACCUGCAGAAGAAGCACCGGCUAACUAUGUG